GACGAACGCUGGCGGCGUGCUUAACACAUGCAAGUCGAACGAUGAAGAAAAGAAUCGAAGCUUCGGCUGAAAUUCAUUUCGGAUUAGUGGCAGACGGGUGAGUAACGCGUGAGCAACCUACCUCUUACAAAGGGAUAGCCUCGGGAAACCGGGAUUAAUACCAUAUAACAUUGUGACGAAGCAUUUCGAUGCAAUCAAAGCUACGGCGGUAAGAGAUGGGCUCGCGUCCCAUUAACCGGAUGGUGAGGUAACGGCUCACCAUAGUGACGAUGGGUAACCGGCCUGAGAGGGUGAACGGUCACACUGGAACUGAGACACGGUCCAGACUCCUACGGGAGGCAGGAGUGGGGAAUAUUGCAAAAUGGAGGGAACUCUGAUGCAGCGACGCCGCGUGAGUGAUGAAGUAAUUCGUUUCGUAAAACUCUGUUCUAUGGGAAGAAAAGGACUGUACCAUAGGAGAAAGCUCCGGCUAACUACGUG
rnacentral:rRNA from 1 species